GAUGAACGCUGGCGGCGUGCCUAAUACAUGCAAGUCGAGCGAACGGACGAGAAGCUUGCUUCUCUGAUGUUAGCGGCGGACGGGUGAGUAACACGUGGAUAACCUACCUAUAAGACUGGGAUAACUUCGGGAAACCGGAGCUAAUACCGGAUAAUAUUUUGAACCGCAUGGUUCAAAAGUGAAGGACGGUCUUGCUGUCACUUAUAGAUGGAUCCGCGCUGCAUUAGCUAGUUGGUAAGGUAACGGCUUACCAAGGCAACGAUGCAUAGCCGACCUGAGAGGGUGAUCGGCCACACUGGAACUGAGACACGGUCCAGACCCCUACGGGAGGCAGCAGUAGGGAAUCUUCCGCAAUGGGCGAAAGCCUGACGGAGCAACGCCGCGUGAGUGAUGAAGGUCUUCGGAUCGUAAAACUCUGUUAUUAGGGAAGAACAUAUGUGUAAGUAACUGUGCACAUCUUGACGGUACCUAAUCAGAAAGCCACGGCUAACUACGUG
rnacentral:rRNA from 1 species